UAUUCUGUCAGCAGCCUGAAAGGAAUGAGUGGCCAUGGCAGCACUGGCAGCAAGGAAGGGCCCAGUCAACCACUGCUGCUGUUUGGGGCUACCAAGGCCAUUGUCAGAGGCAGGCAGGCAGGCAAGGGAUGGGCCCAGGCCUGUCAGCGGUCUGAGGGGAACGAGUGGCCAUGGUGGUGGCAGCAGUGAGGAACGGCCUGGACAACCGCCGCCGCCACUGAUCCUGUGAGGAGGAACAGGAGCAAGGCUUGGGUGAGGGGGGGGAAGGUCUCUGAGGAUAGGAGGCUGCAGCUUGGCCAAUAGGUGAGAGAAUAAUAGCUUCCCUAAAGUCAUCACGUGAAUUCAAAAUGGGCAGGAGCAGAGGGGACCACGUUUCCUGCUCUGAGUUCAUUGUACAAAGGGCAAGGUAAAAAAAGUAAUAAAUAGAUAGAAUUGCUGAGGUGAUAUUUGAACUGGAGACUCCCUGACUCACAGCUGUCACUCAUAACUAGUCCAUGGGGGGUGGGGGUGCCUAGUUGCAUUGUCUUUUGGUGAAUGCACACCAAUGCACCCACCCCAAAGCAUUUUAGCUACUGACCACAUUUUAAGGUUAGACUCCUAAGCACAAUCUAAAGUCAAUUAAAAUCAAUGAGAUUUACUGGUUGAUGGUGGCAGUAUUUUUUAGGAAAUCCUGUAUGAAUGUUCUAUACUCUACUUGUAGGACCUCAGGGAGCCCUUCCAAGUCAAAAGACAAAGAAAAUAUCCCUCUGCUGUUGCCUGCUGGAGGACAAGGAAUAGCCACCUCCACAGAAUUCAGCAAUGUUUUAUCCUGAAAGGUCAUGACCACAAGUGGUGAGACGGCAGCUUAGCCUGGCAGUGCUGACAUAUUGUAUCAGGUUUGAUUCAGUGGACUAUGCUUCUGUUUUGGAAAAAAGACUUCUACUAAGAUCAUUCCCCUGAGAUGUUUCUGCUGAUGGCUCUGUCAGAAGUGUUUCUACUUCUGGGCUGGGUGUGGAAAUCAGACUGCCUCUGCUCACCCACUACAUUUUACAAAAACUGUUGGAUCCGACGAUUCCCGGGCCUUUCAAUUGAUGUGGGGCAUUCGCAGAGGAGAGGGGGCCAAGUCCUCAAAGCAUACCCAGAAGCCACAGCCGAGCAGUGCAGUCGGACAUGCUGCCUCCUGAAGAAUGAACGGAGGUUUCAAAGAAAGAACAAUUAUUUGUUACACGGUUGCAUCUCAGGCUUGAGCAAGAUGUGAGCUGUUUCCUGUAACUUGGCUGUUUUCUACUAUGAAACCAACAAGACCCUUAACUGUUUGCAUGUUUAUUGUCCAGCACUGGAGAGCUGUAUACUGAGGCCCAGCAUGAAUGUUGUGUUAUACAACAUCACAUUAGGGUGCUCUGUGUGUAAGACUCUGCUGAUUCCGUGGCUUUUAAGGAGCAUCUUCCUUUUUGAAAUACCACAGUUCAAAAUCUGGAUCUUGUAACUUCUCACUCCUCUGUAGCACUUGUCCUGUCUCCAUCUUUGAGAAAAGGGAGGAAUACAGAGGAGAGGCAGGCUGCAGAGGGGAAGGACAAGUCACCCACAGUAAGUAGGAAGAAGUAAAGCAACCCACCUCUUUCCUCAUGGCUGAACCUGGUGCCCUGCUACACUGAAGGAACUCCUAUAUAAAGGUCCUUCCUACCCUUUUUACUGGGACAAAAUUCAGCUUCAGUAUAGAUCAGUGCCACCAAAUAGAUCGCAGUUUCCAUACCAAUGAUAAGGAGCAUACUUGCUUAAGGAAGCAAGCCUCUCUGUUCUCCUCGCCCAAGGUUCUUGGUUCAGACUGGGAAGUAUUCUCCAAGGAGUGCUUAGGGGUACUGUCUGAACUGUGAGGAGCUGUCACUGCAGAACUGCUACUGCAAUAUCCCACACCCAUAGUUCUGUGUGCAUUUAAAAAAACACUGAGGCUAUUCACACGAGCAUGCAAAACCAGGCUAAGGGAGCCAAGCCAUUUUGCACGCGCAUGUGAACCACCGGGAUUGGGCUGAUCCCAGCAGCUCCACAGCAGCAACCUGCCUAAAUAGCCACCCUCUAAAACAAGGUUGAACAAGUGCUCCCUUAACCUCAUAUUUUGGAUCGUGUGGCAGCUAUGGCUGCCAGACUGUGGGGAGCCUGUGGAGGGGGGAUCCCCAUGAUGCAUUGCACAGUGGCAUGACACAUCUCAGCCCUCCCCACUGCCUAGGCAUGAAAGGAAUAGUCUGAGCAUGCGGGGAGUGUGCCCAGCACCGCCAGAGAGAUUGUCUGUGUGGAAGGUAAGUUUAACCCACUCUCCCUGCAGCCUGCACUGGAGCCCUUCUCAGUAAUUGUGAGAAGCUCAGUAUGUCUCUAUCCUCAGGAGCACCUUUGCCUUGCUGUAUGGUGAGAUCUGAAGGUGGGCUGGGUGUUCGGUUGGGCGGCAAGGUUGGGCGGCAAGGAACCCUAGUUUGGUUAUGUUGCCUACCCUCUGAAAUGUCCUCUCUGGAGAAUCUUACUUCAGCUCCUCCACGCAAGGUUGGGGCUGGCAAGUAAACUUUAGUGCUUUGAGCUUUGCACUGGAAGAUCUGGUUUUCCCACUAGAAGGUAUGAGUGCCAGGGAGGAUUCAACAUGUUAAUACUGUUUUAAUUGUGCUUUGUUUUUGUUUCAUGGGGCCUUGAGCAGCAUUUUACCUGAUUACUGCAUUUCAAAACUAAUGACAGUGAAGCCAGAGCUCUGUGAGGCAAGAGGAGAGGUCAAAUGCCAGAUUUUUCACAAAAGUGUAACUACUUAUUUAAGAAGGUUGUCAUUUUUAGGGAACCAACUAAGUUUUGUUUCAGUAAGAUAAUAAACUUUGUGCUUGAACUCUGCUUUGACAGGGAUUGAUCCGGAUCUUCUUGUUUUUGAGAAGCUGUCUUUUAAAGACCUGAAUACCAGAUCCUCUUUUAAUAAAUGGGAAAGGCAUGGAAGUGCCAGGGUUGCCGAUUCAGAAAAAUGCCAAAAUGACACAACCAAUUCAC